GGACAGCUUUAGGAGUGAUGGGGCAGAUCAGUCUUCAUCUUUCUCUGUAUACUGAUCACAGUCCAUAGGCAGCUCCCAUUGGCAUUAAUACCAUGGGGAUGAGUGUGGCAGAACAACAAAUAGAUCAGUGGAAGUUUCACACAUGGAGUGAAGGUCUUCACUUGCCAAUCCUUACUGCUUAUGGUUUGACUACCAAGUCUCAGGUGCCGACGCUCAUGAUAGACAGCUGUCUAUUAGGAAGUAGACUGAGAGCAGGCCUCUGAACAAUUAUCAGAUAGAAGCAGCGAUCUAGAGGGUCUCAGAUGAAUUGAUUUAAGUGUUUCCCAGUCAUGAGAAUAUGUCCUUCAGUUUCUGAGUGAGCUUUCUCUCUUUUCCCAGAGCAUCUGACAAAUCUGGAAAGCCUUCAAGUGGAUAACUUAUUUCUCCUUCCAGCACCACCAGCACCUUCAGUGGUCUCUCAUAGCUCACCC